AUUUUUGCAUAGUUUUGAAAAGAAAUAUAUAGCGUUACCUGCACUAUGCGAAAAUAGUAUGCCUUCCUGUUGCAACAGACUAUUGAUUUUCACGUCAAUCAUUGUCAAUUUCACGUGCAAAGGCGGACCUAAGUUGCUUUGACAAACAAGUGGGUUGGAUUUAUUAGCCUGACAAUUAAUUAACUAUUACAAUUGAACAAUAAGGGGGAAAUAGUCGAUACCAUUUAAAAUCUGACAUUUUAAGAGACUUUAAAAUACUCUAGUUUCUGUUAGAACGUUUUUGUUUACUUCUGUUUACUGCCGUUGAAGCCAAAAUUGUUUGAAUACUUUAGAAGUCAUUUGUUGCAGAUAAAUAGUUAUGACCACAUCACUGUUUUUUUUGUAAGUUAUUGCAUACUAAGGAAAGUGUUAAUGAGGAUGAAAUGGAAGGGGUAUGGAGUAAACCUUGUUAAGACAAAAUCCAAAACAAAUACGGGCAAUCAAAGCUAUGACACGAUGCCUUUUUGGUACUUCUUCAUCUUGAAGUCAACAUGACUUCAUGCCUUCCACAAGAGCAAAAUAAAGGUACCUCAUAGCAAGUUUAAGACAACCUUUAGCACCA
rnacentral:lncRNA from 1 species